GAUGAACGCUGGCGGCGUGCCUAAUACAUGCAAGUCGAACGCAUUGUGGUUGAAAUGAUAUGAAGAACUUGUUCAGAUUUGAUUUUCAACAUUGCAAUGAGUGGCGAACGGGUGAGUAACACGUGGGAAACCUACCUCUUAGCAGGGGAUAACAUUUGGAAACAAAUGCUAAUACCGUAUAAUAAUUAAAACCGCAUGGUUUUAGUUUAAAAGAUGGUCUUGCUAUCACUAAGAGAUGGUCCCGCGGUGUAUUAGUUAGUUGGUGAGGUAAUGGCUCACCAAGACAAUGAUACAUAGCCGAGUUGAGAGACUGACCGGCCACAAUGGGACUGAGACACGGCCCAUACUCCUACGGGAGGCAGCAGUAGGGAAGUCUUCCACCAAUAGGACGAAAGUACUGAUGGAGCAACGACCGCGUGUGUGAUGAAGGGUUUC
rnacentral:rRNA from 1 species